AUAAUUUAGGACAGAUUGAAAGUUGGAGAAGUCGGGGGACCAGGAGAGGACUGGGAGGCUUAGAGGAAAAAAGAAUCCUUGCUAGGUAGCAAAAGGAAAAGAGUUUUGAGGUGUUGCUUGAGGUCAAGGUCAACAACGCUACAUGAUUAUUUCUUUGUCUUAACUAUUUGAGGGUUUUAAGUGGGAUGUUUGUAAGUAUAAAUUGUAUAAACGUUAGAAUUUGUUGUAAUAAAUUAUUUUAAAGUUAAGUAGUCUUCUGGAUUUUAUCACUUAUGAGCAAAACAGGUCAAGACGGGCAGUAAGUACCACAGAAGGGUGGUAUUUGCUGUCUUCACAACUCCUCUUAGGUGAAAGAGAUAAGCCUCAGAAAAGGUGUGACACGAAGCUUCAAGGAAGUGAAAAGAUGAAAAUGCCCUGAGGUGGCGUAGUGCAACCAUACUUCGUGCCACGCACUACAUCCAAAGGCAUAAUGCACCCAAAGGCGUGAGCACCAUGAUGCUCAAAAUUUUGGAGGAAGAAAAUUCCACACACGCGAGCAAUCAAAUGGUGAGUGCACUGCAUGGGGCUCUGCUACACGUAAGGUCGGUGCGGCAAAGGGUCUCAGCCCCGCGGCGCUCUGCGGAUUUUAUAAAUAGUUUCUUCAAAUGUUUUAGGGUUUACAUAUGGGAUUUCAAUGGAGGUUGAAGUCUCUCCCAAAAUUCUUCCUCUUCUUCAUAUUUAUUACCUCUUCGCUUAGGAUUUUUUUAUUUUAUUUUCGGUUGUAACUUAUCGAUUAGAGCUCUCCUCUUCUGUUUGUCUAUAGAUCGAUGAGGUAAGGAUUUUUAUCUAGUUAGGGAGCAAAAACCUUUGUAAUUUCUUGAGAUUUUUAUGGUUGGACUAAAUGUAUAUUAGUGUA